rnacentral:rRNA from 1 species
GACGAACGCUGGCGGCGUGCUUAACACAUGCAAGUCGAACGGAAAGGCCCUGCUUUUGUGGGGUGCCCGAGUGGCGAACGGGUGAGUAACACGUGAGUAACCUGCCCUUGACUUUGGGAUAACUUCAGGAAACUGGGGCUAAUACCGGAUAGGAGCUCCUGCUGCAUGGUGGGGGUUGGAAAGUUUCGGCGGUUGGGGAUGGACUCGCGGCUUAUCAGCUUGUUGGUGGGGUAGUGGCUUACCAAGGCUUUGACGGGUAGCCGGCCUGAGAGGGUGACCGGCCACAUUGGGACUGAGAUACGGCCCAGACUCCUACGGGAGGCAGCAGUGGGGAAUAUUGCACAAUGGGCGGAAGCCUGAUGCAGCAACGCCGCGUGCGGGAUGACGGCCUUCGGGUUGUAAACCGCUUUCGCCUGUGACGAAGCGUGAGUGACGGUAAUGGGUAAAGAAGCACCGGCUAACUACGUGCCAGCAGCCGCGGUGAUACGUAGGGUGCGAGCGUUGUCCGGAUUUAUUGGGCGUAAAGGGCUCGUAGGUGGUUGAUCGCGUCGGAAGUGUAAUCUUGGGGCUUAACCCUGAGCGUGCUUUCGAUACGGGUUGACUUGAGGAAGGUAGGGGAGAAUGGAAUCCCUGGUGGAGCGGUGGAAUGCGCAGAUAUCAGGAGGAACACCAGUGGCGAAGGCGGUUCUCUGGGCCUUUCCUGACGCUGAGGAGCGAAAGCGUGGGGAGCGAACAGGCUUAGAUACCCUGGUAGUCCACGCUGUAAACGGUGGGUACUAGGUGUGGGGUCCAUUCCACGGGUUCCGUGCCGUAGCUAACGCUUUAAGUACCCCGCCUGGGGAGUACGGCCGCAAGGCUAAAACUCAAAGGAAUUGACGGGCCCCGCACAAGCGGCGGAGCAUGCGGAUUAAUUCGAUGCAACGCGUAGAACCUUACCUGGGUUUGACAUGGAUCGGGAGCGCUCAGAGAUGGGUGUGCCUCUUUUGGGGUCGGUUCACAGGUGGUGCAUGGCUGUCGUCAGCUCGUGUCGUGAGAUGUUGGGUUAAGUCCCGCAACGAGCGCAACCCUUGUUCACUGUUGCCAGCACGUUAUGGUGGGGACUCAGUGGAGACCGCCGGGGUCAACUCGGAGGAAGGUGGGGAUGACGUCAAGUCAUCAUGCCCCUUAUGUCCAGGGCUUCACGCAUGCUACAAUGGCUGGUACAAAGAGUGGCGAGCCUGUGAGGGUGAGCGAAUCUCGGAAAGCCGGUCUCAGUUCGGAUUGGGGUCUGCAACUCGACCUCAUGAAGUCGGAGUCGCUAGUAAUCGCAGAUCAGCAACGCUGCGGUGAAUACGUUCCCGGGGCU